rnacentral:rRNA from 1 species
GAUUCCCUACGGGGGGCAGCAGUGGGGAAUAUUGCACAAUGGGGGAAACCCUGAUGCAGCGACGCCGCGUGAAGGGCGAAGUAUUUCGGUACGUACACUUCUCUCAGCAGGGAAGAAAAUGACAGUACCUGACCAAGAAGCCCCGGCUAACUACGUGCCAGCAGCCGCGGUAAUACGUAGGGGGCAAGCGUUAUCCGGAUUUACUGGGUGUAAAGGGAGCGUAGACGGCCGUG